CUGCGUCUUAUUUUCUUUCUGAAUUGUACCAUUUGUCUAAUCACUCUUUUCACUGACUCAUUAUCAGAAAUGAUAUGAAGGUUGUUGAAUUAGGGUGUUGAUUUCAGAAGUAAUGUUAUAGAAAAUGGGAAUUGUUCCCUUUCUUAAAAGCAAUAGUUGACAAUUUUAUUUUAUUUUUUUCUGAUACAGUGUUGAAGUUCCUGGGAGAGGGCAACUUUAAUUUAUAAAGAGUCGUUAACAUUCACUUCCUCUAACAAAAGCCUUUGAAGUUUCCUGAGUUUCUGGGAAGGCCUGGUUUCCCCAAAGGAAUGAUUUCUGGUAGAAGUCUGAAGGUCUGACCCAAGAAAAAAACUCCAGUAUAGCCAAUGAAUUGAGGACAAGAAGGUUUCCAAUCAGUGUGAUCCCAGAAGUCUCACCAAGAGAUGGUGUUGAUUCUUCUCAGUGCAAGAGGGAUCAUGAUUGACUGAUGGCUCCAGUUACUGUUACCAGCACAGGACAGAGCCUGGUGUGGCCAAGAAAGCGGGCCAUUCCUGUGAAUACAAGACUGCCCCAACAGGCAUACUGUUGCUGCGUUUAACCUCACUGAAGCCAGACUAAUCUAGAGAUGUUCUUAGCUUCCUGUGACUCAUAUGAAGGUUAUCAUUUUAGAAGAGACCUUGAAAACAUACUCUGGAUUUAGGGGGGAAAAAAAACUCUGACAUUUCCAAGAGGAAAAGCUUUUUUUAAGUUUUAUAUUGUAGAUGCAGAGCUUAAAGCAUUUAAACACAUACAGCAAGCAAUAUAAUAUGAAUCAUGUAACAAAAGUUAAAUUUAAGUGAAAACCUUGUGUGGUAUGUUGCAGUCACAAAAGAAGAUACAAAAUUAAUGUGGACACCUGCUUGUUUUACUUGUAUCAGGAGAAAAUAAAAUUAAUUGUCAUUUAAUGAAUUGCUUUCUGUUGUAGCACACUUAAUUAUCUCUUCCUGUAACCCCAAGAAGUAUCUUUUCAAACUCACAGCUGUAUCUGAAUAGGGGCUACCAACUAAAGAGAAAACACUUCACUCUGCUUCUUUUGUGGAUUAACAUUUAAAACAAAAGAUGAACAAAGUAGGAAGUAGGCUCGUUUAUACGCGAUCCGUCCCAGUGUAUUGGAGAUGAAUGCUAACCCCUUUUCCAGCUAGCUGCAUGUGGAACAGUUCUGGCUUCAGUCCCCUGCCACCUGCCAGCUCUGGGAUCUCAGGGUGCUCCUGGGAGAAUCAUAGGAAUGCGGAUGAACCCCUGAAAGAGACCUGAUGGUGCAGAGAAGGCAUCCGACAGAGGAUCAUGAAGCAGAGAGCAAAGAAGUGGGGUUGAAAAGAGGGAGGUAUACGCGGAGAUUGUUUUUCAUCUCAAAAUGUGCCAUUGUAUUCUACAUUCUCCUUGAAACAUUUCAAGGGCUCCAUUUGCAUAUAUUAGAUGCUUACUUCUUUUCACAUCAUGUUCUCCAUUCCUACCGAAUUACGUGUCAAUCUAUGAACUGUUUCUCCUUUGUACUUCUGUCACUUUAGUACAUUAACAAUUGCAAGUAGAGGUUUUCCACAGUGUGUUUUCCUCUUGGUACAACUUCUUUUGAAUCUAUCCUGUGUAUACAGAAAGAUCUCAAGCGUGUGGGCCAGUCAGAAUGAAGCCAAGCCCGCACUGGUGGAAGUCUACAUUCUAGAAGGGCUCCAAAGACACAAGGACACACAGUUGCAGUGAUUACAGUACUCAAACCUACCUAGAUUAGUUGCAAAGAUACUUCUUUAGCACUAUUUUCACAUUAAUUCUAUUAUUGUUUAAAUAUAAUUGCGUUUCUCUAGUUGAUGUAAGUAAAUCCUUUGCUUAAAAUAUUUCAUUUUGUUUCAACUGUUAAUUUGUUUUCUGAAAUGAGUGUAAUAAAUACAAAUUUUUAUUUGUCCUAACAAUUAAAAUGCAUGGAUUAACCCCCAGCUUGUACAAAUGCAGAAUCAUUACUAUCCCUAACAAUGUAAAACUCUGACAAAUUAGAUAUCACUAUUUCUUAAGGAAAAUUGAUCAUAAGAUAAUUUUUGGACCUAAAAAUCUGCAUUUGUCUCAAGCACAUUUAACAUGCAUUCAUGGGAGAAGGAUCAUCUUUUUUCUGUUUCAUAUACAACUCUGUUAAGUGGAUAUCUUAUGUUUUCUUACAUUUCCUGCAUAUAAUUUAAAGGAAAAAAAAGCCACCCAAAAAGAGAAUAGAGGGAAUGAAUGUCUCAAUCCUUUUUUAAUUGUAUCACUGAUUCUUGGGGGGGUAUAGUGUGAUAGCUUCUGUAUUUUCUUUACUCCCUCCCUCCCCAAUUUUACUGAGUUGUGGUUGACUAUAACAUCGUAUAAGUUUAAAGAGUACAACAUAAUGAUUUGAUACAUGCAUAUAAUGUGAAAUGAUUACCACAAUAAAUUUAGUUAACAUCUGUCACCUCA